rnacentral:rRNA from 1 species
AAUCAGAAUGUCGCGGUGAAUACGUUCCCGGGCCUUGUACACACCGCCCGUCACACCAUGGGAGUGGGUUGCACCAGAAGUAGCUAGUCUAACCUUCGGGAGGACGGUUACCACGGUGUGAUUCAUGACUGGGGUGAAGUCGUAACAAGGUAGCCGUAGGGGAACCUGCGGCUGGAUCACCUCCUUAA